rnacentral:rRNA from 1 species
GACGAACGCUGGCGGCGUGCCUAAUACAUGCAAGUCGAACGCAGUGGGGACGGGUGAGUAACACGUGGGUAACCUCCCAUCAGAGGGGAUAACACUUGGAAACAGGUGCUAACCCGAUAUUGAUGGAUGGACCCGCGGUGCAUUAGCUAGGUGGUGAGGUAACGGCUAACCAAGGCCACGAUGCAUAGCCGACCUGGGAGGGUGAUCGGCCACACUGGGACUGAGACACGGCCCAGAAUCCUACGGUAGGCAGCAGUGGGGAAUAUUUCACAAUGGGCGAAAGUCUGAGCGAGCCAUGCCGCGUGUAUGAAGAAGGCCUUAGGGUUGUAAAGUACUUUCAGCGGGGAGGCGUUACCCGCAGAAGAAGCACCGGCUAACUCCGUGCCAGCAGCCGCGGUAAUAC